rnacentral:rRNA from 1 species
CAAUAGCGUAUAUUAAAGUUGUUGCGGUUAAAAAGCUCGUAGUUGGAUUUCUGCUGAGGACGAUCGGUCCGCCCACUGGGUGAGUAUCUGGCUCGGCCUUGGCAUCUUCUUGGAGAACGUUGCUGCACUUGACUGUGUGGUGCGGUAUCCAGGACUUUUACUUUGAGGAAAUUAGAGUGUUUCAAGCAGGCGCACGCCUUGAAUACAUUAGCAUGGAAUAAUAAGAUAGGACCUUGGUUCUAUUUUGUUGGUUGAGCCUAAAGUAAUGAUUAAUAGGGAUAGUUGGGGGCACCUGUAUUGCGUUGUCAGAGGUGAAAUUCUUGGAUUUACGCAAGACAAACAGCUGCGAAAGCGUCUGCCAAGGAUGUUUUCAUUAA